AGACGAUGGGAAACAGGCACAAAGAUUCCUGUACCACCAGGUAACCGUUUUGAGUGAUGGGGCGACGCAGGAGGAUAAGACAGCUGUCUGCUGGAAUAGACAGUCUAAGCGUGUGGGCCGCAAUCCAGGAAAAUCCGGAUUGCACAAGGCUGAGGCGUUAAGGGACGUGAAUCCUUUCGAGGUGAAGCGAAUUGUCUGAUUCCACACUGCCAAGAAAAACCUCUAGCAAGGUUACAGGUGACCGUACCGCAAACCAACACAGGUAGACGAGAUGAGUAUUCUAAGGCGCUCGGGUGAUCCACCCUUAAGGAACUCGACCAAAUAGCCCCGUAUCUUCGGAAGAAGGGGUGCUGCUGGUGGUGAUGGCCCUCGCGGCCUCAGCUGCUGGCAGCGACAGUAAAGUGGCUCGGGCGACUGUUUACUAAAAACAUAGGUCUCUGCUAAGUCGUAAGACGAUGUAUAGGGACUGACGCCUGCCCAAUGCCGGAAGGUUAACGGGAGGAGUCAAGGCGUAAGCCGGCAGCUCUGAACCGAAGCCCCGGUUAAUGGCGGCCGUAACUAUAACGGUCCUAAGGUAGCGAAAUUCCUUGUCGGGUAAGUUCCGACCUGCACGAAUGGCGUAACGAUCCGAGCAUUGUCUCGAGGGUGGGCCCGGUGAAAUUGUACUACGAGUGAAGAUGCUCGUUACCCGCAUAAGGACGGGAAGACCCCGUGCACCUUUACUACAGCUUGAUAUUGGAUUUAGUGGCCUCUUGUAUAGGAUAGGUGGGAGACGUUGAGACUGGAGCGCCAGCUUCGGUGGAGUCACCCUUGGAAUACCACCCUGGUUGUCAUUGAAUUCUAACUCCGAACCCGUGAAUCCGGGCGGAGGACAGUGUCUGGUGGGUAGUUUGACUGGGGCGGUCGCCUCCUAAAGAGUAUCGGAGGCGCCCAAAGGUUCCCUCAGCAUGUUUGGAAAUCAUGCUAAGAGUGUAAAGGCAUAAGGGAGCUUGACUGCGAGACCUACAAGUCGAGCAGGUACGAAAGUAGGGCUUAGUGAUCCAGCGGUUCCGUAUGGAAGGGCCGUUGCUCAUCGGAUAAAAGGUACGCCGGGGAUAACAGGCUUAUCUCUCCCAAGAGUUCAUAUCGACGGGGAGGUUUGGCACCUCGAUGUCGGCUCGUCACAUCCUGGGGCUGAAGCAGGUCCCAAGGGUUCGUCUGUUCGCCGAUUAAAGUGGCACGCGAGCUGGGUUUAAAACGUCGUGAGACAGUUUGGUCCCUAUCCUAUGCGGGCGCAGGAGAUUUGAUGGAAGUUGUCCCUAGUACGAGAGGACCGGGAUGAACGAACCUAUGGUCUUCCGGUUGUCACGCCAGUGGCAUCGCCGGGUAGCUAAGUUCGGUUGGGAUAAGUGCUGAAAGCAUCUAAGCACGAAGCCCCUCCAAAGAUAAGAUCUCCCUGACCUAUGGUCCUAAAGAGUCCUGGAAGACUACCAGGUUGAUAGGCCGGAAGUGUACGCAUGGUGACAUGUUUAGCUGACCGGUACUAAUAACUCGUGAGGCUUGGU
rnacentral:rRNA from 1 species